UACAGAGGUGGCAAGCGUUGUUCGGAAUUACUGGGCGUAAAGGGCGCGUAGGCGGUCUUUUAAGUCUUGUGUGAAAUCCCUCGGCUCAACUGAGGAACUGCACGGGAUACUGGAAGACUUGAGUUCGGGAGAGGGAAGCGGAAUUCCGGGUGUAGCGGUGAAAUGCGUAGAUAUCCGGAGGAACACCGGUGGCGAAGGCGGCUUCCUGGACCGAUUACUGACGCUGAGGCACGAAAGCGUGGGGAGCAAACAGG
rnacentral:rRNA from 1 species